GUGGGGAAUAUUGGGCAAUGGGGGCAACCCUGACCCAGCGACGCCGCGUGAGGGAAGACGGCCUUCGGGUUGUAAACCUCUUUUGUACGGGAAGAAGGAAGUGACGGUACUGUACGAAUAAGUCCCGGCUAACUACGUGCCAGCAGCCGCGGUAAUACGUAGGGGACGAGCGUUGUCCGGAAUUACUGGGCGUAAAGGGCGCGCAGGCUGUGCUGCAAGUCAGCUGUGAAAUGUCUGGGCUUAACCCGGGCAUGCGGUUGAGACUGCAGUGCUGGAGUGCUGUAGAGGCAAGUGGAAUUCCCAGUGUAGCGGUGUAAUGCGUAGAUAUUGGGAAGAACACCGGUGGCGAAGGCGACUUGCUGGGCAGCAACUGACGCUGAGGCGCGAAAGCCAGGGGAGCAAACGGGAUUAGAAACCCGGGUAGUCC
rnacentral:rRNA from 1 species